rnacentral:rRNA from 1 species
GACGAACGCUGGCGGCGUGCUUAACACAUGCAAGUCGAACGAUGAAGCCUAGCUUGCUAGGUGGAUUAGUGGCGAACGGGUGAGUAAUACGUGAGUAACCUACCUUUAACUCUGGGAUAAGCCUGGGAAACUGGGUCUAAUACCGGAUACGACCAAUCUCCGCAUGGGGUGUUGGUGGAAAGCGUUAUGUAGUGGUUAUAGAUGGGCUCACGGCCUAUCAGCUUGUUGGUGGGGUAACGGCUCACCAAGGCGACGACGGGUAGCCGGCCUGAGAGGGUGACCGGCCACACUGGGACUGAGACACGGCCCAGACUCCUACGGGAGGCAGCAGUGGGGAAUAUUGCACAAUGGGCGCAAGCCUGAUGCAGCGACGCCGCGUGAGGGAUGACGGCCUUCGGGUUGUAAACCUCUGUUAGCAGGGAAGAAGAGAGAUUGACGGUACCUGCAGAGAAAGCGCCGGCUAACUACGUGCCAGCAGCCGCGGUAAUACGUAGGGCGCGAGCGUUGUCCGGAAUUAUUGGGCGUAAGAGCUUGUAGGCGGUUUGUCGCGUCUGCUGUGAAAGGCCGGAGCUUAACUCCGUGUAUUGCAGUGGGUACGGGCAGACUAGAGUGCAGUAGGGGAGACUGGAAUUCCUGGUGUAGCGGUGGAAUGCGCAGAUAUCAGGAGGAACACCGAUGGCGAAGGCAGGUCUCUGGGCUGUAACUGACGCUGAGAAGCGAAAGCAUGGGGAGCGAACAGGAUUAGAUACCCUGGUAGUCCAUGCCGUAAACGUUGGGCACUAGGUGUGGGGAACAUUCCACGUUUUCCGCGCCGUAGCUAACGCAUUAAGUGCCCCGCCUGGGGAGUACGGCCGCAAGGCUAAAACUCAAAGAAAUUGACGGGGGCCCGCACAAGCGGCGGAGCAUGCGGAUUAAUUCGAUGCAACGCGAAGAACCUUACCAAGGCUUGACAUAUACUGGAUCGCAUCAGAGAUGGUGUUUCCCUUCGGGGCUGGUAUACAGGUGGUGCAUGGUUGUCGUCAGCUCGUGUCGUGAGAUGUUGGGUUAAGUCCCGCAACGAGCGCAACCCUCGUUCUAUGUUGCCAGCACGUUAUGGUGGGGACUCAUAGGAGACUGCCGGGGUCAACUCGGAGGAAGGUGGGGAUGACGUCAAAUCAUCAUGCCCCUUAUGUCUUGGGCUUCACGCAUGCUACAAUGGCCGGUACAGAGGGUUGCGAUACUGUGAGGUGGAGCUAAUCCCUAAAAGCCGGUCUCAGUUCGGAUUGGGGUCUGCAACUCGACCCCAUGAAGUCGGAGUCGCUAGUAAUCGCAGAUCAGCAACGCUGCGGUGAAUACGUUCCCGGGCCU